CUUUUCAAAUUUUUGGAGUUUAUGUUUUAUUUUGAAUCUCUUUCAAAUGAUUUAUUUUCUUUUUCUUUUUUCAUUUGGAGUUCCAAAUAUGAUGAGAAGUUUUUAGGUUCAAACUUUUACUCACAUUUGUUCUGAGACCUGACGUCUAAAAUAUUUAGGUGUUGAAAAACUUGUAUCCUGUUCAAAUAUAUAUGCUGAGUUAUGUGGUUAAGAAAGAUCAUUAAAUCAAACAUAUACUUGGAUGGAUAACCAUGUUUGAUUUUAUAGACUGGUACGGGUCUUCAGGAAUGGAGGAUUUUUGUGUAAGGGAGUUCCUUUGUAUAUACUUUGGUCUGUCUUAAAAAACAAACCUCUAAUUCACUAGUACAGAUGGUUUGUGACUGUAUCAAAUGUGGAUAUCCCACUGAUUGCUGUUAAACCUUCAAUAAUUUAAUUGUACUGGUUGUUUUAAUCACCUCAAUUAUGGAUGUGCAUUGUAAGAGAUUGCUGUCAAAAACUUCCUAUGAGAAGCAGAGAUCACCGUUAAAAGCUAAUAUGAGAAAUAGAAAAGCUUUUGGGUCUCUAUAAAAGGUAAUUUAAUAAUGGGAGUAAAGUUGAAGGUCCGCCAUGUUAAACCUUUCCUGAUUGUGUACAUAGCUUCUUAUGGUAGAAAGGCAUAUGCUUACAUAACUGUAAUUUCCUCUGGUUACUGCAAAAAAUAGUCAAAUUUUUGGGAAACAUCAUAAAAUUAUUUAUUUUUAUUAUUGUGCGAAGAAAAAGAUACUCUUGAAGAUGCUCCCAUCAUUUGGUAACUUUGCUUUGAUACUUGAUGCCUGUAAAUGAGAUGUGGGAUGUGAUGGAUUGAAGUUAUUUUAUUUGCGCAUUUACUUGAAAUUUCACACAAACUGUCACUAGUUCUACCAACUGCACACAGGUUCCUCAAGUUCAUCAUUUUGACCUUGUGGAUAGCAUGCAGCUUCAGGUGGUAUUUUCAUUUUUGACAUGAAGGUUAUUAUGGUUAUAAUUUAUGAGUUAUAUUAGCUAAUUUGGAAGAUUGAAUUGACUUUGAUUCAUUGGUUUCUAUAGAUUAAUGUAUCUAGACCUUCAAAUGGAUGCAAUGCUAAAGUUGAACUUCAAUAUAAGAACUGUUCAAGAAAAGGGAUUCUUCCCUGGGGUUGCACUUACCAUGGAAAUCGGUAAUGUGAGAAUGGAGAACCUCAUCAUAAUCUAAUUUUCUUUUUAUACAGUUGGUUUGUAUGUAUGAGCAAUUCUGAAUUUUUGUAUCCGUACAGGAGCUGGGUCAUUCCUUCUGAUUAUCCUUUAGAGACGAAACCUUAUCAGCAAAACUGCUUUGCAGAUUCCAUCUGUGAAGGCCUAUCUUUCUUUCCCUACCUCUUCUCUAUAUUUUUUAUUUGCACUGAAUUGACUAGCACGAAUUAAGAGUCUAGGGGGUUAUACAUAAGUUGAUAUGUCUUUGGUUAAUAUGCAGACUGGAUAGCAAAAGGUGGUUCUGCUAAAUUUCUUGUCAUUUUACUAGGUUGAAAUUAAACAUGGGAAUUUCCAAAUUGAGAUACCUGAGAGUGUGAUGCACAAUACCUCUCAUCUACCUAUACCAAAAGAUCUGAUAGAGUGAAAAACAUAUUUACUGUGGGAAGCAAGGGCAAGCCAAUGAGCUCACUACAACAACAAAAUGUGGUUCUGCCUUUUGCAAUUGACAAAAUCUCAAUCUAUCAAAGACUUCCCCAGAGAAUUAAAUAACUAUUUCAUACUUGCAUGUUACUUAGCACUCCCUUCUAUGGCCAUUUAUUUGAGAGUUUUGUUUCUUAAUUUAGAUGUGACUUUUCAAGAGAGCGUAUUCGACACUUAUUUUUGCUUUCACCUAAUUAAGAAAACCAGGGCUUUUUUGGCCUUUCUUUCCUUGUUAAAAUGAAUAACAUGUGUACAUAGAUGGUCAUGGUUCUCAAUGAAAAGUGAUUGAGAGUUGCGAAGAACAAUGUAUGUUUGUGUAGUCUGUCUUUUCUUAUAAGUUUCAAGGACACACUUGUUUAGGAGAAGUUGAGCAAUGUAUCUAUUUAUUAUUUAAAGCAACAUGUAGAGCAUUCAUCUAUCUACCUAGGGGUUUAUCCCUGUAUACAUUUAAAACAGUUCAUUUAUUAUCGCAUCUUCCUUUUACUGUGGCACUAGUUAUAUUAAUGGGCCUGUGCUCAAACUCCAGUUGUUCUGCCAAGGGUGCAUAUGCAUGUGCUAGACAGCCUAUACCAUAUACAGCCCAACUUCAGUUGUUCUCUCAAUUCAACUGAUGUUGAAUUAUUGAACUUUCACAAAGAAACUCACUAGAGUUUUCAUAAUUUCUUUGGAAGUGUCACCGAAUUUGGUGUUGGUUUUUUAUAUUUCUGAUGCAGCAAGAUUAUGAAGAUGGUUUGAUGAGGGAGCUUCAGAGUCAGUUGUCGAAGUGAAUUUCCUUGCAUGAAUUGCAAAGUAAUAUUCUUAAUGUGGGUGUUAAAGCAAUGGCUGGUAAUAAUGCACAACCUAGCUGCCAAACACCUUUAACCAUAGGAAGCAUUAUGUCAGGAAGUGAUUAGAAAGACAUUCCUAGGGACACACCAAAAGGGCUGGUUUUCCAUUGAUGAAUGAGAAGUGUAUUGGAGGAGAUAACGUGAUCCUGCAGCAAAGUUAUUGUGUUGACAACUACAACAUGGUGGUUAGUUUUCUUUUCUUUUGAGAAGUGUAUUGAAGUGAAUUUCCUUGCAUGAAUUGCAAAGUAAUAUUCUUAAUGUGGGUGCUAAAGCAAUGGCUGGUAAUAAUGCACAACCUAGCUGCCAAACACCUUUGAGCAUAGGAAUAGAAAGGCAUUCCUAGGGACACACCAAAAGGGCUGGUUUUCCAUUGAUGAAUGAGAAGUGUAUUGGAGGAGAUAACGUGAUCCUGCAGCAAAGUUAUUGUGUUGACAACUACAACAUGGUGGUUAGUUUUCUUUUGAUGAAAUUGUGGUUAUGCUAAAGAGAGUGAACAAUGUGCUUGGAUACUCUUUGGACCUUGAUUUUUGGCUAACACUGGGUCACUUCUCUAUAUAAGUUGGCUUGUCAAAUUGUUGCAUCAUGAUCAAAUCCUAUUUCAUGGUGAAGCUUGUGGGAAUCUUAUUUGACAAUUUGUUAGUGUUCCUAAACUCUGGAUUAAAUGAUUAAUGGCAUUAUUCUUACUGGAAAUUUUUCUGCAUGUACAUAUGUAUUCUGAUAUCUAACUAUUAUAUAAGAGGAAGGGCGAUUCCAACUAUAACAUUUUGUGCUUCUAAGAAUCAUUUUCUUUUUCUCUAUUCUAGACUAAUUGUAGAAGCACAUUGGAAGUUGGUUGCCAAACUUACACAAAAUUUUAAGCAUUUAUGCACCCCUGUAGUGUGGCACCACUUUAAUAUCUGUGUUUUUAACUUGACCAAGUAAAACUGGAUCUUGCUGACAAACAAUAAAUGGAUUUAAUUUAGACUUUCCCCCCCUAAAAUAUGGAUGAGAUUCAGGUAUUACUUUAAUGGAUUUGAAUUCUAUGGACUUUGAUGAAUUCAAGUAUUUGUUGAAUCUUUUGAUUUUAUUUCCUAUUUUAGGUCCUUUUUGAAAAUGGUUGGGGCUGAUUAUGGCAUAGUGGUUGCUACAAACAUGAAAGGUGCUACAGUGUUUCAUUGAGGUGAAUCAAAGUUGUCCCCAGGGGAAUGGUUGUUGGGCUUUGUCACUGGUUGUCAGGCCUCUCCACCAGAGAUCUUGCAUGGAAAAUCAAAGCUGCUUGAUGGAGCAUGUCAGAUCUAUUUUACUGACAUGUUGAUUGGAAAUGGAUUCUUCCAGGUUAACAUAAGCAAAGCAUUUGUUUUUAUUACACACACACUUUAUCCUGACUGCACUUGUUACAGUUUGUCGAUAUUAAUUUGCAUCAAAGGUAGUUUUUGGGCCCACCGUUUGUCAUCUGGUCAGGUGGAUCAUGGAUAAAAGUAAUGGGUCAAAUUUCUCAACAGGCCUAAAAGCUAUGAAUCCACGUGGAAAGCAACCUUUGCAAUUCACAUGCUGUGUACUGGGCUUGAGCAAAUUGCAUGCUAAGUGGUGUUGGCUGAUAUGAAGCAUCCUCCCUUCCAGGCCACCGGAACAAAGUUCUCAGAGUAUGAAUUUAUGAACGCUUGCUGAAUUUGUUGCUGUUUUGAAAUUAUUCUGAGUAAUGCAAGUGUGUUGGUCCAUUUGAUUGGUGAAAA